rnacentral:misc_RNA from 1 species
GAUGAGAACGCAGCGAAAUGCGAUACGUAGUGUGAAUUGCAGAAUUCAGUGAAUCAUCGAAUCUUUGAACGCACAUUGCACCUCUCGGUAUUCCGGGAGGUAUGCCUGUUCGAGCGUCAUUUGUACCCUCAAGCUCUGCUUGGUGUUGGGUGUUUGUUCCGCCUCUGUGUGUGAACUCGCCUCAAAACAAUUGGCAGCCGGCGUACUUGUUUCGGAGCGCAGCACAUUUUGCGAUCCAGAUCAACGUACAGCGGCAUCCAAGAAGCCUUAUUUAACGCUCUUGACCUCGGAUCAGUUAGGGAUACCCGCUGAACUUAAGCAUAUCAAUAAGCGGAGGA